GCAGUCCAAGAAUAUUAGUCAAUGCUCGCAAGAGUGAACGAGCUAACUGAAAGAAUAUAUAAUCUAAAGUUAGGAAUCUUAUAAAUUUUAUUAUAAGUUUAAAGACGAAUCUAACUAACAGUGUCGUCCAAAUUCUGGUGCCAGAAGACUCGGUAAUACCAGAGACGCGAACGUUAAUCAUCUUGAAUGGGCAUAAAGGGUUUGUAGGCGGCUUAUUUAUUAAUAGGCUAGAAUCUUAGAGAGGUUAAUAAAAUACUUAGAGGAGGGCUGAUAUCCUUAGAUCCUAAGUGGAAUCCUAAUUGCGAAGGCCAUUUUCCACUACAGAUUGACGCUGAGACACGAAGGUUAGGAUAGGAACUAGGAUUAGAGACCCUAUUACCCCUAACUGUAAACGAUGAAUGGCAGAUAUUUACAACUGUAAGUGUCGAAGUGAAUACGAUAACCAUUCCGCCUUGCCAGUAUACUUGCAAAAGUGAAAACAAAAAAAUUAGUCGGUCCUAAAGCAAACGAAGUGAAGCAUGUUAUUUAAUUC
rnacentral:rRNA from 1 species